GAUGAAGAACGCAGCGAAAUGCGAUAAGUAAUGUGAAUUGCAGAAUUCAGUGAAUCAUCGAAUCUUUGAACGCACCUUGCGCCCUUUGGCCAUUCCGAAGGGCAUGCCUGUUUUAGUAUCAUGAACACCUCAACUCUUCAUGGUUUUCCGUGAUGAGCUUGGACUUUGGGGGUCUUGCUGGCCUAUGGUCAGCUCCUCUAAAAUAAAUCAGCUUGCCAGUGUUUGGUGGGUAUCACAGGUGUGAUAACUAUCUACGCUUGUGGUUUUCCACCAGGUAACCUUCAGCAGUGGAGGUUCGCUGGAGCUCACAGAUGUGUCUCUCCUCAGUGAGGACAGCUCUUUGAAUGUUUGAUCUCAAAUCAGGUAGGACUACCCGCUGAACUUAAGCAUAUCAAUAAGCGGAGGA
rnacentral:misc_RNA from 1 species